UACGUAGGGUGCAAGCGUUGUCCGGAAUUAUUGGGCGUAAAGGGCGCGUAGGCGGCCUGUCAAGUCAAUUGUGAAAUCUCCGGGCUUAACUCGGAACGGUCAAUUGAUACUGUCAGGCUAGAGUGCAGAAGGGGCAAUCGGAAUUCUUGGUGUAGCGGUGAAAUGCGUAGAUAUCAAGAGGAACACCUGAGGUGAAGACGGGUUGCUGGGCUGACACUGACGCUGAGGCGCGAAAGCCAGGGGAGCAAACGGG
rnacentral:rRNA from 1 species